UACAGAGGGUGCAAGCGUUAAUCGGAAUAACUGGGCGUAAAGGGUGCGUAGGUGGUUACUUAAGUUGGAUGUGAAAUCCCCGGGCUUAACCUGGGAACUGCAUUCAAUACUGGGUAGCUUGAGUAGAGUAGAGGGGAGUGGAAUUUCCGGUGUAGCGGUGGAAUGCGUAGAUAUCGGAAGGAACACCAGUGGCGAAGGCGGCUCCCUGGACUCAUACUGACACUGAGGCACGAAAGCGUGGGGAGCAAACAGG
rnacentral:rRNA from 1 species